rnacentral:rRNA from 1 species
GACGUAGGGGGCGAGCGUUGUCCGGAUUUAUUGGGCGUAAAGCGUGCGUAGGCGGCUGCGCAAGUCGGUUGUGAAACCCCGGGGCUCAACCCCGGAACUGCAUCCGAUACUGCGUGGCUAGAGGUAGGUAGGGGAGAUCGGAAUUCCUGGUGUAGCGGUGAAAUGACACAGAUAUCAGGAGGAACACCGGUGGCGAAGGGCGGAAUCGUCUGGGCCUUACCGUCGACGCUCA